GGGGGCGACCUGGUUUCGACGUGGGCAUCGAAGCAGCGCAGGGCAUGCCGAGGACCAGAUCACCUCGUAAAUCCAUUCUGGAAACACUACAAACGCCAACGACGAGCGUUUCGCUCUAGCCGCCUAACACCGGCUAGACGCUGCACUGGUCUGCUGAUGGGCCAGGCCCGGAACAUCGGGUGCAGCGUCAUUCACAUCAGCCUCUCUCCCGGGCUUGGCCGCUUGGCCCAGGGGAUCCGUCGAAGCGGCUAGCCGAGCGUCAGCCUGCCGGUUGGCGGGCGUAAGGCGAAAUACAAACAACCAGGCUAAGCAUGUAGUCCUGACUGCCUAGGGUUCAUGGACGCGGGUUCGAUUCCCGCCGCCUCCACCA
rnacentral:tmRNA from 1 species